AUACGUAGGAUCCGGGCGUUGUCCGAAUUUACUGGGCGUAAAGGGCGCGUAGGCGGCCCGCUAAGUCUCAUGUGAAAUCUCCCGGCUCAACUGGGAGGGGUCAUGGGAUACUGGCGGGCUUGAGGGCAGCAGAGGGAAGCGGAAUUCCCGGAGUAGUGGUGAAAUGCGUAGAUACCGGGAGGAACACCAGUGGCGAAAGCGGCUUCCUGGACUGUACCUGACGCUGAGGCGCGAAAGCGUGGGGAGCAAACCGAAUUAGAAACCCGUGUAGUCC
rnacentral:rRNA from 1 species